rnacentral:rRNA from 1 species
UACGGGGGGGGCAAGCGUUGUUCGGAAUUACUGGGCGUAAAGGGCGCGUAGGCGGCCUGCUAAGUCGGACGUGAAAUCCCUCGGCUCAACCGAGGAACUGCGUCCGAUACUGGUGGGCUUGAAUCCGGGAGAGGGAUGUGGAAUUCCAGGUGUAGCGGUGAAAUGCGUAGAUAUCUGGAGGAACACCGGUGGCGAAGGCGACAUCCUGGACCGGUAUUGACGCUGAGGCGCGAAAGCCAGGGGAGCAAACGGG